AUUCAAAUACAUGUUCCGUAACAUUUAUACAUUGGUGAUAAAUUAGUACACUUACAUCAGUGCUAAAGUUGUCAAAAUAUAAAUACGAGUGAGUAAUUAUACACGGAUAUUGACUUGCCUGGGAUGUGGACCAUGGAGUGGUUCUUCAGGUGUGUCCCUCUGACGUAACCGUACAUGGACAGCUUCCUGUCAAUUUUAGGUUUCUGUCGAAUCUCCUCUGGGUCAGUGAUGUCUUCAAUUCUAAAAGGACAUCAGGAUCAUAUUCGAAACAUAAGCGGAUAUGGAUGGAAACUGCUAAUAAUACAACUUUGUUACAUGAAUUCGACGUUAUCAUGUUGACAGAUGCUUCAGUGAGAUUUAAAAAAUUUGGUGUGCAGGCCAUUCCAGGUUGGGGCUCCAUUGCUGUUCCCACAAAUGCACACACCUUUGCAGCCCUUGGAAGACAAGUCUGCUUAUUCAACAAGGCAUUUGAAGUCACAUAGAUGGAAUUCAAAUGGUCCACCUUUACUAUUACUCCGGUCAUGAGGUAGUGAAUAUUGUGGCUUUACAUUAAAUAAUAAUUUUUUU